UGGGGAAUAUUGCACAAUGGGCGCAAGCCUGAUGCAGCCAUGCCGCGUGUAUGAAGAAGGCCUUCGGGUUGUAAAGUACUUUCAGCGGGGAGGAAGGCGAUAAGGUUAAUAACCUUGUCGAUUGUCGUUACCCGCAGAAGAAGCACCGGCUAACUCCGUGCCAGCAGCCGCGGUAAUACGGAGGGUGCAAGCGUUAAUCGGAAUUACUGGGCGUAAAGCGCACGCAGGCGGUCUGUCAAGUCGGAUGUGAAAUCCCCGGGCUCAACCUGGGAACUGCAUUCGAAACUGGCAGGCUAGAGUCUUGUAGAGGGGGGUAGAAUUCCAGGUGUAGCGGUGAAAUGCGUAGAGAUCUGGAGGAAUACCGGUGGCGAAGGCGGCCCCCUGGACAAAGACUGACGCUCAGGUGCGAAAGCGUGGGGAGCAAACA
rnacentral:rRNA from 1 species